GAUGAACGCUGGCGGCGUGCCUAAUACAUGCAAGUAGAACGCUGAAGGAGGAGCUUGCUCUUCUGGAUGAGUUGCGAACGGGUGAGUAACGCGUAGGUAACCUGCCUGGUAGCGGGGGAUAACUAUUGGAAACGAUAGCUAAUACCGCAUGACAACAGUUAUUGCAUGAUAACUGUUUAAAAGGGGCAACUGCUCCACUACCAGAUGGACCUGCGUUGUAUUAGCUAGUUGGUGAGGUAACGGCUCACCAAGGCGACGAUACAUAGCCGACCUGAGAGGGUGAUCGGCCACACUGGGACUGAGACACGGCCCAGACUCCUACGGGAGGCAGCAGGAGGGAAUCUUCGGCAAUGGACGGAAGUCUGACCGAGCAACGCCGCGUGAGUGAAGAAGGUUUUCGGAUCGUAAAGCUCUGUUGUAAGAGAAGAACGAGUGUGAGAGUGGAAAGUUCACACUGUGACGGUAUCUUACCAGAAAGGGACGGCUAACUACGUG
rnacentral:rRNA from 1 species